rnacentral:lncRNA from 1 species
GCUAAGUGUCAAGUUCAACUACCACCAAGCUACAGCAAAAUGUAAUUCAAUUACUAGUUGAGCUACAUGUAGUUCACUUCUCCCCAACACUGUAAGUUCUACACUUUUAAAAGAUAACCAUCUUGCUUUGGGGGGCUGAUAUUGCAGUGACACCAUUGUGCGUUUGGCUCAAUCAUCCCAAUGCCGCCGGAGAAGAAAUCUUAGUGAGUCAGAAGCCAGGAUGGAGGCAGCAAUUCUCCUCAAGGAAACUUGGCUCCCACGUUUGGAGCCAUUUCAGAUUCAAUCACACUUGAUCAACUUGGACCGAGUCCUUCGGUAUUUAUAGAAAGUUAAACGGUGCAACCUGUUCUUCGAAGAGAGGACCUGGAAAAACCUCUACACCUUCUGAGUUCCUUGACAUCCACGGUCGCCAUUCACUCCCUUCUGUCGGGCAUUUUGCAUCUCUUCAGAGGAAGGCAGCCAAAGCAGGAGGCGGCUUGAGGCCAUCCCACACUUCACCUCUGACCCUACUCUCUCGCAUCUCUGGUUAUGUCACCCUCAUUGACGUAAUUGAGUGUUGAAGCUAAUGGCUCAGUCGGUGUGGUGACAAUGAAAUUUAUACGCCAUGAUCAGAUCUAGCGAUUGCAUUUUCCCUCCAUACUGGAAAACGGGACAGUUUGGCCAAUCAGUCAAACGCAGUGAAAGCGCUGUCAAUCAUAAAAAGUAAUUAUUGUGACAUAAUGGAUUCUGAAGCACAAGAGCCAAUUAACAACUUUAAUGAAUAGAUUAGCCGAAGAAGCAGCCAGGUAGCUAAGGAACAACACUUGACCACUCGCCACCCACCUAACUCUUGCGACACCAACUUAUAGCAUUAGAUCUUAGCAGGCUUGUAUGAUAACCGAGACAGUUAUUAUGAGGACAUCGACUGAUAACUUGGUUUGUGAAUCACUGGGCUGUUAUUCAUGAAGUCUCUCAGAGUAGAAUAGCUUAUCUAGGAUCAGGCGCCGAUAUACAGUGCCUUCAGAAAGUAUUCAUACCCCUUAACUUAUUCCACAUUUUGUUGUGUUACAGCCUGAAUUCAAAAUUGAUUCAAUGGAUUGCUUUUACCCCAUAAUGACAAAUUGAAAACCUGCCCAGUCCUUAACGAUUACAAGCAUACCCAUAACAUGAUGCAGCCACAACUAUUCUUGACAAUAUGGAGAGUGGUACUCAGUAAUGUGUCGUAUUGGAUUUGCCCCAAACAUAACACUUAGUAUUCAGGACAAAAAGUGAAUUGCUUUGCCACAUUUUUUGCAGUAUUACUUUAGUGUCUUGUUGCAAACAGGAUGCAUGUUUUGGAAUAUUUGUAUUCUGUACAGGCUUCCUUCUUUUCACUCUGUCAAUUAGCUUAGUAUUAUGGAGUAACUACAAUGUUGUUGAUCCAUCCUCAGUUCUCCUAUCACAGCCAUUAAAUACUGUAACUGUUUUAAUGUCACCAUUGGCCUCAUUGUGAAAUCCCUGAGCGGUUUACUUCCUCUCCGGUAACUGAGUUAGGAAGGACGCCUGUAUUUUUGUAGUGACUGGGUGUAUUGAUACACCAUGUGUAAUUAAUAAGAUCACCAUACAUAAAGGGAUAUUCAAUGUCUGCUUUUAAACAUUUUCCCCAUCUACCAAAAGGUGACCUUCUUUGCGAGGCACUGGAAAACCUCCCUGGUCUUUGUGGUUGAAUCUGUGUUUGAAAUUCACUGCUUGACUAGGGGAUCUUAAUUGUAUAUGUGGGGUGCAGAGAUGAGGUAGUCCUUCAAAAACCAUGUUAAACACUAUUAAUGCACACAGAGUGAGUCCAUGCAAUUUAUUAUGUGACUUGUUAAAGCACAUUUUUACUCCUGAAUUUAUUUAGGCUUGGAUUAAUAAAGGGGUUGAAUACUUAUUGACUCAAGACGUUUCAGCUUUUCAAUUUUAAUUAAUUCAAUUAAUUAAUUCUAAAAACAUAAAUCCACUUUGAGAUGAUGGGGUAUUGUGUGUAGGCCAGUGACACAAAAUCACAAUUUAAUUAAUAUUACAUUUAAGCUGUAACACAAUAAAAUGUGAAAAUUGUCAAGGGGUGUGAAUACUUUCAGAUUAAGGCUGAGAUUCAAUCAACUGCAGAAAGUGGAUUUCUGCACGGCGCUAUGGAAAUCAAGUGUCAUCUCCCUCCAUAACAGACACGCUGCUGUGCAACUCAAACACAACUUUGAAAGCACAGAGUGGGAAUGUGCUAUAUGAAUUCUGGCCUGAAGUUUUACUAUCUACCACAGGUAUCAAAAGUACCUGUAGAUGACAAUGCAAUAUAGUGAAAAAGGAGUCUCCACAUGCUUCAAUCAGAUGCAAUGUCAGUGUUCAUUUGCUAAGUGUUCCGGCUGUUAAAUGUCCUAUAGUAAAUUCAUGACUUCAUUCAAAAGUGUCCCAAGUGCAAAGAACAUACUUGUGAUCAUGGUUAAGCUUUUAAUGUCAUGGAUUGUAUUUUCCCAGGUCUGUUCGCACAAUAUUGAUGGACAACGAUCCCUGUCCUGGUUUGCUCUCCUGCUCAGUCCUCUGCAAUGGGACAUGGUCCCACUGUGUCAGAAUGAAUCCUUCAGUCUGUCCUGGAUGACAUUAUAUGCUCAAUGAAGGGUAUGAAACAAUCCCUAAGUCCUCAUAUACCUUGAAUGUUCCUUGAAUGUGUUGUCUAAAUCGCUCAUGUUUUUUAAUAAUCUGUGCUCUAUAAAUGUGUACAUAGAACAUUAAUGUGAAACCUGUCAAACAGACGUUGGUAGUGAUUGGAAUCAGUUAUUGGGUGUCAAUUCAAUAAGUGCACUAUGCUGUGAAGCCAUUCAACAUGUACUGGCUAAAGAGAGAAAUACCAAGCUCAUCGGGAUAGAUUAUGAUUUUAGAGGUGUGCUAAUCUCUCGUGGACAGACUACAUAUUGAACAUCAAAUUUAAAAAAAUUAUUUGACACAUGCUUUGUAGACAACAGGUGCAGACUAACAGUGAUUCCCGGAUUUUCAUCUUAUUCCAAGCGGAUUCCAAAAGUUUUCCAACUGGGAUUUGCAACCCUAUUUAUAACACAGCAUUAUUGUUGAUGAGUUACACUAUAGUGAGUCUGAGGAAAAUAUGAGAUACUGUGCUUCACAGCAGAUUGACUAAGAACACAUUCCUGAGGAUUCUCAUUUCAUACCCAACCCAUACAGCCUGAAAACCCAGC